AUAACCACAACACAUCACCAUUGCAUAGGCACAUGUAUACUUAAAUAAAUAGACUUACAACCCAAUAAUCAAUAUGAGCCACAUCUCAUGGCCUUAUACAAAAUGAAUCAAAUAUCAAUAUAAGCCAAUUUACAUGGCUUCACAUUACAUCAAACCCUUAACCAUUACAAGUAAAUUGGCUAAAUCGUAAUGACACAUUCACAAUUGACUAAGUCCCUAUACAUGCCAUAAACUUAAAAGGUUUGUAUUCAUUUUUACCCACGAUGAUAGCUUGAUAGUGUGAUGGCAUCUCUGGUGGUCUCCAACCCGAGCUAGCUAAAUUAACCUAUAAGACAUGGGAAACGAAGGGGGGUAAGCUAUAUAAUAUAGCUUAGUAAGUUCAUAUGCAAAUAAUAAACAACUAUUAACAUUCAUUUACUUUAUCCAUCCAUAAGAGUACUAUAAUUUCAAUUGGCAUUGGAUUUUAAGAUUUCUAUUUAUUCAUUCAUAGUGCUUACUCCUUUAACUUAUAAACACCAUUUACAUGCCUUGGCAUUAGCCUAACCACUAUAGUCUUCCCAUUAUAACAAAUCAUGUGAAACCCCUAACCCGUAUCCGUCGCCGGAUUAGGGUUACGAGAUAUUACCAGACGAGACACAAAAUUUCAAACGUUCACAUUUACACAUAUGUUAUAAUCACAAAACUAAAACAUAAAUUUGUUUAAACAUUAAGCACAUAUUUUAAAUCAAUACAAUUAUCAAUAAAAUUCAAAGUCAUAUAAAAUAAGUGCGGCAUUGGCUUUUAGAAACACAAUCAAUAUACAUUAGUAUAUUAUAUCAUAUCGCCUUAUAACAUAGUAUAAUAUUCAUUAUUAUAUAAGAUAAAGCUAACAUUAUAACAUGGCCAUAAAUAUUCCUUUUACAAUUCAAUUUCAUGCGCAUAUUACCAAAUUAAAAUGGACCAUUUUUAAUCAAUAUUACCAAAUCAAAACAUACUAAGAUAUAUAUUCAAAAUACUAACUAUCCAUACAUAAUUUAUUCGGUCAUUAAUAUACAUACAAAUAAUUCACACCAUUUCUAUAUGACUUAAUAAACCAAAUUUAUAAAUAUUAAUGCCAAAUCAAAAUAUGCCAAUUUCACAAGUUAUACACCAUGCUAAAAUAUCAUACACAUGUCCAAUUCUACUCUUAUCUAUUCAACUAAUAAAAAUCCACCUAUACCUAUUCAUAAAUUUUCAAUUAACAAAUGAGUCUAUAUAGCCAUUUCACUUAUAAUUUAUAUUCAAUAUUUUACCUCUUAUACCAUCAUUGCCGAAUCACAAAGUUGAUUGUAACCAUCUCAUAUAUUUUCAUCAUAUAACCGAAUACACAAGUACAUUAUAACAAUUUCCAAACCAAUUCAUGAUAUAAAUUAUACUUCUCAAAAAUAAGUCAUUAAUGAAAUAUAUAUAUGUCCAAAACAUAAAUCGUACAUACCAUAUGGAAAACAUAUCAAAAUAACUCUUACCAUUUUCGGAUAUAACAAAAUAUCUUUUGUAACACCCCAAACCCGGCCCAGACGUUAUGGCCGGAUCUGACGUGUCACAUUGAAGUUUUUAAGAAAACCCAUGCCUCUUUCAACGUCUUUCUUAGUGUUUUAAAAGAUAGUCUUUACUAAGUUAAUAAAGUGAAUGGAAGCUGUGCACCAGGUAGGUAUCUGAAACAGAGGAGGUGAGCCAUGAAGGCUGCUUAAGUACCAAACUCUUGAUUGGAUCCAAUCCUAGACAUGCCCAAAACCAUUGCCAUACUUUGGUGCUAGGUUAGGUUUUGAGAAAAAUGAGUUGGAAUUCAUUUAAGUAGAUAUUUUUGAUAAACCGAUUAAUUGUAUCGUUGCGUUAUUUUGAAAACAAUUAUCAUUUUGGAAACGCGCCCUAGGUCUAACUCAUAUUGUUAUCAGAAAAAUAUAGGGUAUAAAAUAAAAUAAUCCCAGAAAAAUAAUUAAAAUGGCCUUAUUACAGCCCAAAACCAAAUAAUAAUAUUAAUAAGAUAAAACUUAUAAAGAAAUAAAUCGGCUACUUAUUGUAAUUAAAAGAAACAGAAACAGUAGUAUGGCCAUUUUCGAGUCCCUCGCAGCUCCAAACCAUCUAAGCUUAGGGAUUACUUGCACAGUUAGAAAUGGGGUGAGUUUAUGAAAACUCAGUGUGUAAUCCCAAUAACAAACAAACAGUGAAAACACAGUAUCAGUACAAUCUGGGCCAAAGCCCUAUUUAGUCUUGACAUAUACUGGGCCGAAGCCUUUCGUUUAACGGUUACUGGGCCGAAGCCUUUUCAUAAAUCAUAUCACUGGGCCGAAGCCUUUACUGUAAACGGUAUGGCCCUUAGGCCCAUUUCAAUAUCACAUGUAAUGUCAAUGGAUGUAUGUAAGCCCAUUUCAAUAUCACAUAAAAUACCAAUGAAUGUAUGCAAGCCCAUUUGGGGAGACUACUCGACCCACCAUCCGCUACUCUCCACCCGUACCAACCAAGCUCUCCAUGUGGGGAAUAACUCAACCCACCCAACCAAACUCUCCACUGGCAGCAUAGCUGCUUUAUCAUAUAACUGGAGGCCUAGCCUCUUUUAAUAACUGGGGCAAAGCCCUUUCUGAUAAACUGGGGCAGAGCCCUUUUCGGUAAACUGGGGCAGAGCCCUUUUAGCACUUCCUCCAUCAAUAUAACCCAUAUCCCAUGCAAUAUGUCGUGUAUGCAGAAUGUCAUGCCCAUAUUUGAAUCAAACAAUCACAGUCAAGUCACUCAUAUCACCAACAUAUAUUCACAACCAAAUCCGUCAACCACACAGUCCAAGUCAGUCACUUGCCCACAAGGGCAAAACAAUCAUUUUUCAUAUUAUAAGGGUAUUUUCGUAAUUUUACCAAAUAUCAGGGUUUUCCAUGUUCAUUACAAUUGUCAAUAUUUCCGAGUGUUUAAACAAUGAUCUUUAACCCACUUUAUCAAAUUCGAGCUUUUGGGCCCAAAACCCCUAAUGGGCCCUACGAAUGCUGAUUUAACCUACUUAACCCAAAUUUUACAACAAUACUAACUGUGUUAACAAGCAACUUUUUCAAAUUCCAUUUUUUUAUCAAUUUUACCUAAAUGGGCCCAAAAGUCCAUUGGGCCCAAUUCCAGCCCAUUGAGGCCCAACUUACCAUUGUGCACAAAAUUGAGUUCUUACCUGUUCCAUCGAUCCAAACACCGAUCUUAUCGUAUUUAUCGCAUCUAUACCCAAACACAACAUUACAAGUUCCUGAAAUACCGGUAUUUUAACAUUUCGGCUUCUCAGCAAAUAUUAAUCUAAGCUAUUACGAGGGUUAGUACACACUUGUUACGGGUUGAAGUUGAAAUGUUUCCAUAAUCAAUCACCUACGAUAACCACCUCCUGUCACUCAAACUUAACUAUUCCAAUAUCAAUAUAUGUAAAUCCUAUGCACAUCAGUCAUACGGAACAUAAGGGCGUAUUCUUCAUUUUACCAUACAAGGGUAUUACGGUCACUUUAUCCUACAGGGGCUUUACGGUCUUUUUACCUAUUAAGGGUAUUUUAGUCAUUUCAUCCUACAAGGGUGUUUUGGUAAAUCUACAAACUAAGGGUAUUUCAAUAAUUUUGUAAACCAAUGGUAUUCCUAUAAUUUUUAAAAAAGUCAAGGGUAUUUCUGUAAUUUUGUAAAUUAGGGGUAUUUUGGUAAUUUUACAAAUUGAGGGUAUUUCGGUAAUUUCUCAAACCAGUGGUAUUUUGGUAAUUCUAUCCUACAGACGUAUUUCAGUAAUUUCACAAUCGAGGGUAAAACGGUAAUUCUGUAAAUCGAGGGUACUUUGGUAAUUAUACAAACUGAGGAUAUUUUAUUAAUUUGAUAAACUAAAGUAUUCUAAACAGGGAUAACAAUAUGAAUGGGCCUAAAGCCUAUUCUCGGCCUAAAUGGGCCGACACGCUCGUGUGACCCUUUUAGCCCAAAUCUAGCCACAAAUAUGAGAUUCACCUAGCCUAGUCCAAUAUUUACUACACAAUCAAACAAACUUAUCCAAUUGGGCCCGUAGGCCCAUUGGGCCCACAUGGCCCUUUUCGGCCCAACGCGGCCCGAAGUAGCCAUCCUACAGCUAGAGUAGUGAGAAAUACACACCUGAUAGGAGACUGGAGUUAAUCCACGCUCCGAGCACUCUUAGCCGAUGGCCAACCCAAACGAGCACGCCAUACAGCGAAAGGGAU
rnacentral:lncRNA from 1 species